UACAGAGGGUGCGAGCGUUAAUCGGCAUUACUGGGCGUAUUGCGUGCGUAGACGGCUAUCUAAGUCGGGUGUGAAAGCCCCGGGCUCAACCUGGGAAUUGCAUUCGAGACUGAAUAGCUAGGGUACGGUAGAGGGAAGCGGAAUUUCCGGUGUAGCGGUGAAAUGCGUAGAUAUCGGAAGGAACAUCAGUGGCGAAAGCGGCUUCCUGGACCAGUACCGACGUUCAGGCACGAAAGCGUGGGGAGCAAACAGG
rnacentral:rRNA from 1 species